ensembl:misc_RNA
CAGAGAACACUACAAACUGAUGUCCUGUGUUUGCAGAGCUGGAGGAGCUGGGACAGCAGCCGCUUUCCCAGCAUGCACUGAGACAGUGCUUCAUCCUUGCCCUGGGAGGCCGCUUCCCAGGAUGAGAGGAUAAUUCUCUCACUAUAGCCCAUUCAAUCUUCAGCCUCU